ACAGGAUUGAGCAACUAUAAGAAGAAGAAGAGCUGACGUCAAAGCCAACGGCAAAAUGGGUAGCCAAGAACUCGUCGCCGUCUCGCACAAUCUUGUUAUUGUAGCCGCCGCCACAACAUCGCCAUCAUACCAGCGCGAGGACAGUCGGACCUCUCUUCUUCUUUAUGCCUCUCACAUCGACGCAGACUCAUCUCAUCGUGGUAGAGUGCACACGCCUGUUGCCUUUUCUAGAAGGAGCAAGCACUUCAUUCUCCUCUAGAUGCCAGCGUUGAGUAAAGAAAAGACAAAAGACA